rnacentral:rRNA from 1 species
UACAGAGGUGGCAAGCGUUGUUCGGAAUUACUGGGCGUAAAGCGUGCGCAGGCGGUUGGGUCAGUCGCUGGUGAAAGCCCCACGCUCAACGUGGGAAUGGCCAACGAGACGGCCCGACUGGAGGCAGGGAGAGGCCGGUGGAAUUCCGGGUGUAGUGGUGAAAUGCGUAGAGAUCCGGAGGAACACCAGAGGCGAAGGCGGCUCUCUGGACCGAGACUGACGCUGAGGCGCGAAAGCGUGGGGAGCAACAGG